rnacentral:rRNA from 1 species
GAUGAACGCUGGCGGCGUGCCUAAUACAUGCAAGUCGGGCGAACAGAGGAGGAGCUUGCUCCUCUGACGUUAGCGGCGGACGGGUGAGUAACACGUGGAUAACCUACCUAUAAGACUGGGAUAACUUCGGGAAACCGGAGCUAAUACCGGAUAAUAUAUUGAACCGCAUGGUUCAAUAGUGAAAGACGGUUUUGCUGUCACUUAUAGAUGGAUCCGCGCCGCAUUAGCUAGUUGGUAAGGUAACGGCUUACCAAGGCAACGAUGCGUAGCCGACCUGAGAGGGUGAUCGGCCACACUGGAACUGAGACACGGUCCAGACUCCUACGGGAGGCAGCAGUAGGGAAUCUUCCGCAAUGGGCGAAAGCUUGACGGAGCAACGCCGCGUGAGUGAUGAAGGUCUUCGGAUCGUAAAACUCUGUUAUUAGGGAAGAACAAAUGUGUAAGUAACUAUGCACGUCUUGACGGUACCUAAUCAGAAAGCCACGGCUAACUACGUG